rnacentral:lncRNA from 1 species
GAUUAAUGUUUCCAGAGAAGGGGAAAAAAUGUGGCUUCAAAAUUAAUUAUCUUGGGCUGGAAGAUCUAAGCCUCAGACAUGUUAUUUUCCUGCCCCUACCUCUUCUGAGGGAAAGUCCAUGCUAUGUAACCUUCCAUUGCUGAGCAAUUCCUGAAGUGUGGUUUUCUGGGGAGCCCGUACCACUUUCCCUUCACCCACCACCAAUUUUAUGUUUCCUUUUAUAUAAAUAACAAAGAAAGAGAUCAACAGAAUCAUAACAAAGUCCUUGACAGCUAACACGUUUUGCGUCUGAUUUAAAGCAGGAAGCCCCCAUGUCUAGCUGCUUGUGAUUUAUUUAGAAUAAAACAA